UACACUCCCUGUUAAAUAAAGAUUAACCAUCUUCCAUCUUUCAAAUUGUCAUACUGUCUUUUAAGUCAUAUGAUUUUGACCUCAUUUUCAUGAUGCUGUGGUCAGGUCAUCAAUAUUUGGUGUAACCAUGUGCUGAGGAAUAUAUUGGAGUAUUCAUUGGACUUGAUUUUAUAUCUUUUACCUACAGUUGUCAGGUUCAAGACAAUGGUCUGUCCUUCAAUAGCUCUGCAUUAUAGGUCAAAAAUAGUUGGUUAAGACCUAAUUUUAUGUCCUCCAUCCCAGUUGACCUACUUAUUUGAUGUAUUGGUUGAUUUUACUUAUUCUAUACAAUCAAUCAAAUAUUAAUUCAUUAUAGGUCAAAUAUUUUUGAUAGUAAGGGGGUUCAAACCAGUAUAUGUCUUGCGUGUCAUAUGGCUGUUUUACUACAGAAUAAAUGUUCACCAAUAUUGUUGUAAUGAAUAGAUGUCCAUAUGAUAUUUAACAUGAGAUAACAAUAAGAUUCCAAAUGUGUCAGGAAUCCAGGACACUGAUGACCAGAAGUGUGGGAAGUCAAAUUUAUCAGUAAUGAUACAUGAUAAAUAAGUCAGUAAAAUUUUGUACACGAAAAAAAUAUUUAUCAGUUUUGUUAGUGUUAUAUUUGGCCUUGUGCUCUUUUUCAUCCAAUUGUCAGGUAUAAUUUUGAGGAUAAUGCCCUUUUCUGGGUAAUUAUACAUCAUAGGUUGACAAAUUUUAGUAUGUGUUUUUGCGUCAGAAAUCUAUCCAAAUCACAUGGCCAUGAUCUUGUUUACAUAAUCUAAAUGUAAGUUGUGUUUAUUUUUAUCACAAUCUAACAAAUUAUACUUUAUUGACCAACAUUUGUGAAAAUUCUUUGAUAGAAAUAUUUGUGUAUUUGACAGGUAUUAUGUGAUCAUGACCUCAUUUCAGAUCUUAUUGACCAUAAAAGUACUGGGUUGAGUUCAAUAUCCUAGCAGCUACGUAGCCUCUACUUAGCUGCUAUCAAUUUCUAUGUAACUAGUCUACAGCUUCACGUUCAAUAGUCAAAAUCUAUGUAAUACUACGUAGCCGCUACGAUAUUGAACCCAGCCCUGUUAGAUUAGUAAAUAUUGCAUACAUUAUUAAAAUGAUUGUUGAUAUAAAGUCAGAUAUUUGAUUUCUUAUAAUUCUGCACACAAAAUAUGCAAAUGAAAUUUAUAAUGGGAAAUAAUGUAUUUGUAAUAUUGACAUUGUUACAUGUUUCGCAAAAAUUUGAUUCACAGUAACCC
rnacentral:lncRNA from 1 species